CGACAGUUGACACCAUUACUAAAGUUGAUGUGGCAUGUUAAGUGGCACACCAACCAUUGUCCACGUGGUGUGUAACAUCAUGGGAACAAUUUGAAAUAGUACCAUGUUAUAGGGACUUGAAGAAUUUUAUAAAUGUCUUUUAAAUUGUCAAUGAUCGAAUUGAAGGUUUAGAGGAAAGAUAUGAACACUUGAUGAAAUGGAAUGAUUUAUGGCUUAUAUUUUCUUUGAAAAGUUGAGGACGAAUGUUAAAAUAAGUUGGGGGAAAGACAGAAAUGGUGUGGUUUGUAUUCAAGGUUUGAGUGGUCACUCUAUGUUUCGUGGUCGUGGAAGCCUUUGUUCAAGUGUUAGUGUGAAAGGAAACGUUGAGUAACUUGGGUUAAAUGUUUUAACUAUUGGAUUAAGUGAGGAGUUAUGUUUUUUUAAAGGGGAGUUAAGGUUAGUUUUCUGAUUUUAUGCUUCUCAUUUUUUAUUUACUGUGCA